UUGAGGGAAAACAGGUUCAGAAGUGGCUUAGCUACCCAGAAAUUCAACGUCUUCCACUGGUGCUUGCAGGCUGGGAGCUGGGAAUUGACAGCAGGAACCCAGAGGACUGCUCAUGGCAGUUCACCAUCUCCCAUCUUGCUGCUCUGUAGGACCAAAGAGGGACACCCGGAGGGACUGCACACUGUGCAGGACCAUCUUUUAUUCAUGGCCGAGCGGCGCAGACGCCGCUGCUUGCCGCCUUCUUGGGAUGCUGGCAUUAAUAUUUCAUCCUGGAGCCAGCUCGUGCUGAAGAGCUCAUGUCCCAGGAAACCCUUUUUUGGGGCCAGCUGCAAUGUUUCCUCUCAAGGGUUCCUUGGGAAGAUAACAGUGGAAAAGCCACGCUCUGACAUGGUGGGUCUGGAAUGAAAAGUGAAGGUGUUCCUCUGCAAGCAUCCAAGCAGUUUCAACUUAACCAAACAUGCUUCUCCUGAAUCACUGGGUCUUUAAAUCGAAAUACCUUCUCAAUAGAUGUAAUAAUGCUGGAGAAAAAGUGAUUGGAAAACAACUCUAUGUCCUCAGUGAUCCUUAUGGGUCCCUUCCAACUUGGGAUGUUCUGUGAUCUACAUGAGUUCCGUAGGAUGGAAGGGGAUGCUGAAUGUGGGAACGGAAGGAGGAACAGUUAUUUGCACAGCUCUUUGAGAUCCUUGAAGGAAAACCCUGGAGAGAUAUAAGGUAUUAUUACAAGGGCUGUAAGUUCUUUUCAGGCAGUUAAAGGGAUAAUAAAUUCAUUGCCCAGGAGAUUGGGUAGUUU